rnacentral:rRNA from 1 species
CAAUAGCGUAUAUUAAAGUUGUUGCGGUUAAAAAGCUCGUAGUUGGAUUUCUGCCGAGGACGACCGGUCCGCCCUCUGGGUGAGUAUCUGGCUCGGCCUGGGCAUCUUCUUGGAGAACGUAGCUGCACUUGACUGUGUGGUGCGGUAUCCAGGACUUUUACUUUGAGGAAAUUAGAGUGUUUCAAGCAGGCAUACGCCUUGAAUACAUUAGCAUGGAAUAACACUAUAGGACUCCUGUCCUAUCUCGUUGGUCUCGGGAUGGGAGUAAUGAUUAAGAGGAACAGUUGGGGGCAUUCGUAUUUCAUUGUCAGAGGUGAAAUUCUUGGAUUUAUGAAAGACGAACUUCUGCGAAAGCAUUUGCCAAGGAUGUUUUCAUUAAUCAAGAACGAAAGUUGGGGGCUCGAAGACGAUUAGAUACCAU